GCUUUGUUUAACUACCUAUGAGGGCAUCCUAUGAUGACCAUCUACCUCAGUAUAGUCGUAGAGUGAGCGUUAGUAGCAUGUUAGAAAUUUAAGCUUUUAAAAUUUUGAAACCCUUGUUAUACUGCAGUCUAUAUUUUUACUUGCAGAUUUUUUUAAUUCUAAAAAUUAGAAAUCAGGCCUGUUUUUAUAAGAUAUUUAACUUUUUGCAUUCUUUUAAAACAUUUUAAGUUCAUUAAAACCAUAUCCCUAUUGUAAUUCCUUAAGAUAUACCUACUUAGUUAAUGUUGAGUUUUAUGAAAAAGUCCUGAAGGUGAAUGGUUCACUCCAUGCACAUUUAUGUAGAAACCUUCAAAUAAAUGCAUGAUGUUAUUUCUGUUUUGAAUAUGACUAGGUUAGUAUUAUUUAUGUAGUACUUCUUCUCACAGAUAACUUAAAAAAAAAAAUCCCACAUUGAAUUCCAGUAUACCAAGGGUUGCAAUGAUUUUGGUUUUUAUGAAAGUUCAAGAUUUCCUAUAGCUUAGGUGCCAGCUGGGCACUGGGUGAAUUGUUUUUAUGCCAGAUUUUCUUGUUCAUUCUUGCUAUAUUUUCUAGAUAUCUCUAAAUAAUAAAUUCUUCUCUCUGUUAUUUGUGUGUGUGAUUUUUGUAGUGGAGAAGGCAAAUGCAAAACUCUUCCAGAUGACUGAAAAACAGUGGGUCCUCUGCAGCUACAGGGGAUUCUAGACAUUAACUAAAGGCCAGCAAGCACUCAAGUCCCCCAAGUGUUUUCCUGGUGUAACCAUUUGUUAACUACAUUUUCUCUCUUUUUACAUUUUAGGCUGUUAACGUAAUUUGACAGAAAAAUAAUGAGCAGGGUUUUUGGAUCUAAAAAAGCCACUGUGACAAGACAGCACUAUUUUAAUUCCAUUUUGUAAAAUUUUAUGAGACCUUUUAUAAUUAGUUUGUUCCCAAUGUACUGCUACUUUAUUUGCUUUUUGUUACUAUAAAUUUUGAUCAAAGAAAUCACUGAAAUAUGAUAAAAUUACUGGAUUUUAGGCUAAUAAUUUAACAUAUAUACUGACCAGAAUUUAAAUGCUUUCCCCUUAAUGAACUGGUCAGUGGAAGCAGAAUCUUGAUAUUGUUAACUUUAGAUGCUAUCUUAGAUCUUGAAUACCAGUGUGAACAUUUACACCAUACCUUGUAAAAGUUGUGAACUGUCUAGUCCUUAAAAUUUAGAAGAAUUGCCUUUGUGGUUUUCUGAAGAAAUUAAAUUGCAUUCUUAGAUGGAUUAAGGCAUGUUAUAUAAUAAUAGUACAUCUAUCUCCAUGAUAUUAAAGUGUGUGAACCCUAUUUUAAGGUUUUAAAUUAUAUAUGUGCUGAUAAACGUUUGAGUUUAGUGUGUUUUGAUUAAGCAAUUUCUCUUAUAUCAGUGUGCCUGUUGUAGGGUAAGACUUAACACCAAGAGAAAAUUUCCAGAAUUCAGAUUUAGGAUAAGUAAAAUGCAGUUUUUGAAACAAGGUUCAAAUCAUGUGAGUAAUGUGCAAAACUACAGUUAGGCUUUAAAUUUAAAGAAUUCUUAUUGUCUAAGUAUCAUAGUUCCCAAGUCCUGAACAUAAUACAGUAUAUCAUAUAACUGGCUUUCUUAAAUAUUGUUAGGCCAUAGUAAACUUUCUAGUAUCUGUUAUGAAAAUGAAAUGUUUAGGAGUGUAUAUAGAAUUACAGAAGUAUUUAGUUCCAGUAUCUGUUUUUGGUGUAUUUAAUUCUUGGUAUGAUAUGCUGUAUUAAUGUUGCCACCGUUAAAUAACUGAUGUACUCAAUCCCUUUGUCACCAUUCACCCUAGUUUUAGCUCUUACACUUUGGUGUUGGCUCUUGGUCAGUGUUUUAAAACAAUAGACACAAAGUCUACGGUAAGGAAUAGUCUUAAUUGGUAAAAACUGAGAUAGCUGGAUAUGGAAGGAACUCUUAAUAGUAAUGGAUUUGGGGGUUAUUUAGGUUCCUUGGUUAAUGUUUGUUUCUUUUGUCUGUUUCUUUUUCUUUCAUUUCUACACAUUCAUGCAGUAUUUCAUGGUUCUAUCAAAGCAGCAGUAAAAAAAAUACUCUUGACGCAUGAAAAUUAACUGUUCUUUUCCCUGGUUCAGCCUGAACUAUAUACCAGGCCCUGCUGAAAAUACCACCCAACAGUUUUCUUCUGCAGCUUAUCCAGUUUCUCUUAAGUGCCCUGUACAUAUUGUAUGUUUUAUGAUGAGAUGCAGUUUCUUAAUAUGUAUUACAGAAAUACUACUGGUAUUUGCAAAUAUGUAGUUUAAUUGUAUUAUUGAACUCUCAUUUUGGGGGCUUGGGCACAUUAACAGAUUAAUCCAUCUGUAUAGGGCUUUUGCUGUUGGAUAGAAUUUAAAUUGUCUACAUAAAUAUUUGUCUUAGGACCCUUAGAUUUUAUCUGAAUACACAGAUUAGGCUUUAAAAACAGACAUACAUGUUGUUUUUGGCUUUAGGAGUUUGGCUAAGUUAGCUUUUGAACUGACACUCAUGUAGCAGCAUUUUUGGUAUGGUUAGCAUGGCACAUGUUGGAACAUAAAGCAUUUUACUAUACAGGUAAGGAAUGUGCCAUGUUGUUUUACCUAUUCUCUCUCUUUCUUACUCACUUUCACACACAUCCUGUGUGUAUUCAGAGACCUUCAGAAACAUUCAUAUUCAUUUUCAUGAGUCAGCAAAAGCCCUACGCUUGAUUCCAACAGAAUAUUUCCUUUACAUACUUUUCUUCUCUUAAUUUUUACAAAAUUUGUAUGGUAGGUGUAAAAGAAAAUCAUAGUAACUGUACCAUAUUAUUAACCCCUAAAUCAAACUUUUUUUGUCUUGUGUAUCUUGAUUUUUCUGUGUGCUUUAUAGUGAAGCAGCCGACACGAGUCGUUGUUCAUAAAACAGCUUUUGAAAGUUGAGAGCACACCCCUGGAGAACCGACUGUGCUUGCUUACGUUUGGUUCAUGACUU